AUGAGUGUAUUUGCAGUGCCGUGAGAAAAGUAUUAGCCCCCUUCACAAAUUGCUAGAUUUUUGCACCGUUUUCCAACUUUAACCUUGAAGAUAAUUAAGCAAAUGUAAUUAUCAGAAAAAUAGUAAAUCGUUUCUUCUUUUUUUUUUUUACAUAAAUGAACUCACCAUUUAAAAACAGCAUUUUAAGUUCACUUGGGUUUAAUUUGUCUGAUAUUUAAAAUCCUUUCAUUUAAAUCAUCAAUAACUUUGGAAAUGGGAUUUUCAAGCAUGGCUUUUUACUACAGAGCCCCUAAAGGAAUAUGGGCACAAAUAUACAAAUUCAAACAUUUGUUUCUCAUUUGUACGAGAACGUUUUACGUGCACACGGGAAAGUGACGUCACGCGUCCCGGCGUUCAGCACCUAAACAAAAGAACGGCGUGUCGCAAGAAUGAACACGAGUGGAACCACCUGCAUAGCUGUUGUGCGCCAAUAUGUCCGCGGGAAAAAGGAGCCUUUUUUGGCGCACUCCCGCGAGAAGAACACACGUGGAUGACAGGGUUUGAAGUUAGCCACUAGCUAACAAAAGAAGAGCGAGCGGCGAGAGCCCGCCGACAACGGAUUCCAGCCGUGUCGUGAACACUUCAUAUUAAGAGCGCCUUCUAAGCUAUGAUUUUCGGAUAGGACAAGACAUAAACCAAACGUCAUCGGUUUGAAGUUUCGGACAGCAUGCGACCAUAUUACCAUUCAUUUCCCAUCAAGUCUUGAAACGCACAUAUUUGCAUUACCUCAAAAAGGUGUCGGCGCAGAGGCAGCCAUCUUGCUAUUCCCCUCUUUGCCGCGACGACUUUCUACCGUCUCCCACCGAGUGUCGGAAGGUGGCCGACCGAGCGAGGAGCAAAGGAGCAGGUGAACAGCAAACAAUCCAUCGAUGACAAUAUUUGACAAGCGAAGGCAUCGUGCCAAUGGAGGAGCUGAGCAUAGAGCGCUUCCAGAAAAGUGUGUCCAGUGCACCAGUGAGAUGAGGUCCAAAAGAUCGAGAGCGUUUGCCUGGAUUUGAAAGUGAAUUCCACUUUAGUCUGUGGUCUGAGGACAUUCUGCAAACCCAGAUGUAGUGCCUUCCCCACAUCCCAAGUCGUCAUCACUCUUUCCUCGCACAUUCACUUCUUUUAUCUGUCCAAAGCGCCUUCGAGUUUCUUGAUUCUGGCUGGUUCAUGGGA